CAUCCCUGUAAUUAUAGGCCGUUUGAUUUUUCAUCCCUGAACUUACUAAUCCUUCCAUUUUGCCCCUGUAAUUACUAAUCAUUUGAAAGUUCGUCCCUCUUCCCGGAUAAUCACUGCCACGUCAUCAAAUUAGCAAAAUGGCAUGGGAAUUGACAAAAAUACCCCUGGCUUAUUUUUAAAAAUUUAAAAAUCUGAAAAUAAUUUUAAAAAAUAAAAAAAAUUUAAAAAAAUAUAAUUUUUUGAAAUAUGAAAAAAAUAUAAAAUUAUAUAAUUUUUUAAAAUCUGAAUAUAUAAUUUCGAAAAUUAUUAAAAAAUCUGAUUUUUUUAAAAAUCAUAAUAAUAAUUUCGAAAAAAUUUACGAUUAUAUAAUUUUAAAAAAUAUAUUUUUUGAAAUAUGAAAAAAAAA
rnacentral:lncRNA from 1 species